rnacentral:rRNA from 1 species
UACGGAGGGGGCUAACGUUGUUCGGAAUUACUGGGCGUAAAGCGUGCGCAGGCGGCUUCUCAAGUCAGGGGUGAAAGCCCAGAGCUCAACUCUGGAAUUGCCUUUGAGACUGAGUGGCUUGAGUACGAGAGAGGUGAGUGGAAUUCCCAGUGUAGAGGUGAAAUUCGUAGAUAUUGGGAAGAACACCGGUGGCGAAGGCGGCGAGCUGGUCCAUUACUGACGCUGAGGCGCGACAGCGUGGGGAGCAAACAGG